UACGUAGGGGGCAAGCGUUGUCCGGAAUCAUUGGGCGUAAAGCGCGUGUAGGCGGUUCGGUAAGUCUGCUGUGAAAGUCCAGGGCUCAACCCUGGGAUGCCGGUGGAUACUGUCGGACUAGAGUACGGAAGAGGCGAGUGGAAUUCCCGGUGUAGCGGUGAAAUGCGGCAGAUAUCGGGAGGAACACCAAUUGCGAAGGCAGCUCGCUGGACGUCGACUGCGCUGAGACGCGAAAGCGUGGGAGCAACAGGAUAGAUACCGUUG
rnacentral:rRNA from 1 species